AUGUACCUCAUAGUUGGGCUGUACCUUCCUCAGGUGUCAAAUGUGAUGCUGUACCUGGUCGUUCAAAUCUUAGCUCCAUCCUCCCUCCCCGUGUCCAUUAGCGCUCCUGUCCAGAGCGAAGAGAAGGCGAAAAAGCGCCGCCGAAGCAGCAUGAGCAGGCCUUUCAUCCUUGGCCUCUUGAGUCCUCACCAACUGAGCCCACGUGUUUAA
rnacentral:rRNA from 1 species